rnacentral:rRNA from 1 species
CCUACGGGAGGCAGCAGUGGGGAAUAUUGCACAAUGGGGGAAACCCUGAUGCAGCAACGCCGCGUGAGUGAAGAAGUAUUUCGGUAUGUAAAGCUCUAUCAGCAGGGAAGAAGAUGACGGUACCUGAGUAAGAAGCCCCGGCUAACUACGUGCCAGCAGCCGCGGUAAUACGUAGGGGGCAGCCGUUAUCCGGAUUUACUGGGGGUAAAGGGGGCGUAGACGGUGGAGCAAGUCUGAAGGGAAAGCCCGGGGCGCAAACCCGGGAAUGUCGUGGAAACCGGCUGACGAGAGUGCGGGAGAGGGAUGCGGAAUGCGUGGUGUAGCGGUGACAUGCAUAGAUAUUACGCAGAACUACGGUGGCGAAGGCAGCAUACCGGCGACCAACUGACGCUUAGGCACGAAAGCGUGGGUAGCGAACAGGAUUAGAUACCCAGGUAGUC